CUGAAAAUGGUUUGUGCAGCUUCUGGGUCAUCCUACUGGGGCAAUACUAUCUCAUCUCUCAGCCAGUAUCUAGUAGAGAGACCUGUCUGGGGAUAGAUAAAAGCAGGCUGGCCAAGACUAAGUGGAAACAGCCUUGUCAUGACAAAGGUCAAGUAAGAAAGCAAGUUGAGAAGCUCGGAGAGAACCUUUGAUGCUUUUGACUGGGAUUAUGUCUGCCAGCAGUUAAUACAGUGCACACCAUGGCUGCUCGAGAUCAGGUCAGCCUGAAACCAGUCCACUGGCACGGUGUCUUUGCUGUCUCACAAAGCACGUAUAGUCCUUGUUGAGCCCAGAUCUGAAGAUGACAAUGGAGACCCAUUAGUAUACCUAUCAACAGCUGUUAAUGCUGGGAUUAGUUUUCCUACAGGUAUUUUUGCUGUAAAAAGCAGCCUGUUUUUUAUUUCUUUCAGAUGUUGUUGACGACUGUAAUGCUUGCCAGAGGAGUCCAUGACAUCCAAAGGAAAAGAGCAAGUAGCUGGAAAAAGAUAGAAGCAUAAGUCAAAACUGCUUCCUUAUCUAACAUCGCUGCCGCUGCUGUCAUGCUUUCAAAGGCCAUCCCAACUUGUCAUCCUGAGAGGUUUGCAUGCACUGAGGGCUUCAGGAGGAGCGGCGUAACAUUUGGGUCGCGUUUCGGGGAGCACAGAUGAGGAAGAAGUCCACUGUCGUAUUUAGGAACUGGAGCUGGCAUGGGAAUGGCUGUGCAAACUCACACGCGUUUCUGUAACACAGAUCGUAGCGCAGAAAGCACGUUUUUUCUAGGAAAGAGAAAGAUGGGAGUGAGAGGACACUGCACGAAGCUAGCAGGAGCAAGGCUUAAAAUUGCCAGAAGGAGGUGGUUCCGGGGGAUCAGGUGGUUAAGCGGUGUGGUGGCACCCCUAGAAUUCAGUGGGUAUACCUGAUGUCUCUUGGCCUGACACGCGGCAAGUGGCACCUGUCCAUCAAAGAACAUUCAAGAACAUGCCAGAAUCAUCCUGGACCUGCCAGAGCCACCAGGUAAUAGUAUGACCACACCCUCAUUUCGAUCACAGCUAUAAGUAACCCGCCGUGGGCUUCCGAACCUCGAGAUCGCCUCAUCGGAUGCAGCCGGUCUGAUGAAGUCACGGACGCUGCCCGAGGAAUUCCCGCUGGGAUUUAAAUCUCCGCAUGGUUGUGUGAGUGUUUGGUGCACCUACUGGGCGGUUAUUGUCCAGGCUACAGAAGCAAAGCUUCUUUGUUAAAGGGGACUGUGAGCGUCCAAACCACGGGAGGGAUAGCUUCCUCACUCCGUACUGCUUUUUCCUUUUGAGAGUAGCUACUUUAUCCUUCUUUUGUCAGUUAUUUUGUUUCUCUUCCUUUCUUUGUGCCCUAGCAUAUAAAUAUAUGUAAACAGUUGAUAUAUGUAAAUAGUAUGAUAAAUGUGCUUGCUAAUUAAUUACUUUAUUUAUUAGCAAAUCCAUUCAUUAAUACUAGGAAUGCCUAUACUGACAUCCGAAUCUGUUACCCAUUACGGUUCAAUAAACUGUUUAAUGAUGCCUUUAAA
ensembl:lncRNA